rnacentral:tRNA from 1 species
GCCAUCGUGUUGCAACGGCCAGCACACUCGGCGCGUAUUCGAGAGGUCCGAGGUUCGAAUCCCGGCGAUAGCA